rnacentral:rRNA from 1 species
UAGGGAAUCUUCGGCAAUGGGGGGAACCCUGACCGAGCAACGCCGCGUGAGUGAAGAAGGUUUUCGGAUCGUAAAGCUCUGUUGUUAAGGAAGAACGAGUGUGAGAAUGGAAAGUUCAUACUGUGACGGUACUUAACCAGAAAGGGACGGCUAACUAUGUGCCAGCAGCCGCGGUAAAACAUAGGGGGCAAGCGUUGUCCGGAAUCACUGGGCGUAAAGGGCGCGCAGGCGGUCUGUUAAGUCAGAUGUGAAAGGUUAGGGCUCAACCCUGAACGUGCAUCUGAUACUGGCAGACUUGAGUAUGGAAGAGGUAAGUGGAAUUCCUAGUGUAGCGGUGAAAUGCGUAGAUAUUAGGAGGAACACCAGUGGCGAAGGCGACUUACUGGGCCAUAACUGACGCUGAGGCGCGAAAGCGUGGGGAGCAAACAGG